rnacentral:lncRNA from 1 species
CCUGCGUAUGGUCUUUCUUCCUCUCUCCCCCUCUCUCUCUCUAGACGCCAUCUAUGAAAAUCUCUCGUUAUAGCUAGUUGAUGUUGUUGUUUCCAUUGUGUUGCGUCACAAAACACAUCCAUGUGAUCGUAAGACUUCCAUGGUGUUCUGAUGGCCUUUUUGGGACUAGAGAAUCGGUUAUUUGGUUUUGUGGUUUUGAGAGAAAGAGAAAAGGGAGGUGAGAGGGAGAGAGAUUCCAGUAGUACUGUUAUGAUGAGAGCCACUUUGCAGGUAUCUCAAGCGAGAAGCAACCGGCGUUUGCUAUCCUGAGAAGGGGCCUUCGUAUCAAGCUGAGCAUAAGCGCAGGCGAACUACAGGCGAAAAAGGGAGCAGUGAUUCUCCUAUAAGGGACCUAUUACUCCAACUACUUGAGAGGAAUAGCAGUCUUAACAGCUCAGCUCGAAGCCCCAAAUUUGAACUGUGAGCUUGACCGAAACCAGAGAAAAG